GAUGAACGCUGGCGGCGUGCCUAAUACAUGCAAGUCGAGCGAACAGACGAGGAGCUUGCUCCUCUGACGUUAGCGGCGGACGGGUGAGUAACACGUGGAUAACCUACCUAUAAGACUGGGAUAACUUCGGGAAACCGGAGCUAAUACCGGAUAACAUGUUGAACCGCAUGGUUCAACAGUGAAAGACGGUCUUGCUGUCACUUAUAGAUGGAUCCGCGCCGCAUUAGCUAGUUGGUAAGGUAACGGCUUACCAAGGCAACGAUGCGUAGCCGACCUGAGAGGGUGAUCGGCCACACUGGAACUGAGACACGGUCCAGACUCCUACGGGAGGCAGCAGUAGGGAAUCUUCCGCAAUGGGCGAAAGCCUGACGGAACAACGCCGCGUGAGUGAAGAAGGUCUUCGGAUCGUAAAACUCUGUUAUUAGGGAAGAACAAAUGUGUAAGUAACUAUGCACGUCUUGACGGUACCUAAUCAGAAAGCCACGGCUAACUACGUG
rnacentral:rRNA from 1 species